UUAUAUGCUCGACAGGGAAAGGGAGGAGGGUGGCUAUAAAGGGCGCAUUAAAGGCGGCCGUGAGUGGCUUCUGCACGCAGUGCUCUGGUGCGCGGCCAUCGAAGGUCUUGUCAAGCAAUUUCUACGGCGUCGACGUCAGAGUGAUGCCCCCCAAAAGUGCAAAUGCACCCAACCAAGAAAACGUAAAAUAAAGAGAGGAAGAAGUAAACAAAAUAAGGCUUACUAAUCGCGGCGAGGACGGCGAAGGUGAUGAUGAGUAGGAGCUGAGCGACGACUACGGCAGGCGCACGAGAAGUCCACGCGCACACGCAAUGGCGAGUGCUCGCUGUCAGAGGAAGUUCAAUUCACGCUGGUAGCGAGGCGUGGGGAAAAGGACAGUGGCGAGCAGCGAGAGUGAUCAUGGACGAGAUUGGUUCUUCCUUUUCCCGGAUUUAUGUCGAUAGCAACAACGCGCCGCGAAAAGAAAGGGAAGACGAAGAAAAAGCCUAUUUACUCUCCGACGCCUUUAUUCUUUUGAAACGCCCAAGAAAAAGAAGAGAGAGGAAAGGAAGAGAGCUCUUCAAUUCUACUCAACGCCUACUGCUAUCAUUCAUCACCAAACUUAGGGCGUGGCUUGGGUUUCUUCGGGGUGACAAUGACAUCUGCCAUCCUGUAAAGAUACGCCUCUCUAAUAAUGAAGACACUACCACAGAGCCUGUACCAACAUCUACACUGGCCGUGAACUAGCGACCAAACCGCCAUUAACGUGCCUGUUCUGUUCUUAUGUCUAGCAGAGAAGAUGUAGACUACUAGCUAAAGAAAGCAGCAAACUUUACGACAUCGUGUAAAAACUAAAGCCAAAAGUUGCAAUCUUAACCAGUAAAUUAGCACAAAUAAGACGGAAAGCAAACCUCUGCCUCUGUGAGCAGAAAACAGCCGCUGUUGUUGUUGUUGCUGCUUCUGCUGCUGCUGCUGCUCGUGCACUGUUGAAGAUAUAUAGGAAGGGAAGGAAACGGAUCUAAUGGAAGAAAAAGAGGCUCCUUUCGAGGCGAAAGGGAGUGCGUGCGCGCCCCUGCGCUCGCAUUCUAUAAUCUCUUCAACUUGCUGAGUGCGAUUAUUAAAAAAGCAGAGCCCAUCACAUCCGUCCGCCGACGCCAAAUCUGUAUCUCGCCUCCUCCCUUCUCAACACAUGGACGUGGUCUUCAAUUGGCGAUCCGCUCUAGAGAUGGACGAUGGAAUGGAUGGGGAGAUAAAGAAAGCGAGGAGGAGAGAGAGGAAGGGAAGCGGUCAUACCGAGGCAGCGAGCGCAGAGAAUGUCCGUGGAAAAGAGGGACGAAGACCAUGCGCCUAGAUAAAGCGGAGAGAAGAGGGAGGAAGGGUGAAGGAAGAUAGCGAUGGCAGCGAGUAGAGCGCAGGAGUUUGGCUCUCAAAAGCAGGGCAAAGCCAUGGCUUCCUUUGGAGGUUGGUGACGAUGCGUGCGUGCUUUUAAAUAGACUUAGACUCUUGAGGUA